UUAUUUUGACAUACCAAUUAAGAGAACAAGAAAUACUUUAAUAGUGUCUUUUUAUGUGAUAAAGAGUAUCUUGUGAGAGACUUGUUUUAGGGAAACACUUGCGGGAUUUUUUGUGAGCGUCUUUUUAGGUUAUUCUCUUGAGGUAUUUGGGAUUAGCAUGGCGGAUCUAGAAUUUCUAGUUAUGGAUUCACUACAAAAAAAGGAGGAAAAAAUGUACUAAGUGGGCCCUAUUCCUCUUGUUAAAUAAUUCAAUCUUCAAGUAAGUGCAUCAUUCAACCUUGUUGAAGUACGUAUGCCAACAAUUAAUAUUAUACCAAUUUUAGAAAAAUGUACAUAAAAUAUUUAUUUUUUCGGAAAGACCAUGAGUUCAUGUUCCUCAUAAUUUCCCCUCUAAAUUCGCCUCUGGGGAUUAGUUACAAUGUGUACUCUACUUUUAUACUCUUGUUGGUAUAGUAAAUUUGUUUCUUUCUGCUUGUGGACGUAGGUCACACUGACUGAACCACAAUAAAUUUUUGGUCUCCUUAUUAUCUUUAUUAUUAUCAUUUUUAUAACACUGUAUUUCUUAGUUUCGCAC
rnacentral:lncRNA from 1 species